AAGAGCAUGCAUACCUGCCCUAGCGCGCGGGAACGGACCUCUCCCGCGGCGAUUGGGGGAAAGGCAGGGGAGUUAAGGGGACCCCUAGGGGUGCCCCUACGGCCUACCAGGGUUGGACGCACAGGCAUGGUCACGUCGGGGUAUUGCCAAGCUUUUGGCACAGCUGGUCAGGUGGCCAGACUGCACGCAGCUUAGAUGGAGACGUCUUGAGCUGUUUGCGCAGGACCUCUAGAGGCCCUCCAGGUGGUGGCAAGCGGAAGGGUGAAGCGGCACUAGGAACAGGCUGGAGAAGGGGGUCGCGUCUAACAUCAGAAUAACUUACAAUUCUUCCCCAAAGAGCGCGGCACCCGCUGAGCUGGGAAAAGGUGUUGAAUCAGGCGCCAGUCCUUGGACGAUCAGUCGACAGGGGGACAGGACUCAAUUUCCUCCCAACAAAACACCUUUGUUGAAUCACAGCCUGCCCAGGUAUAUGCUGUGUGACCGUGAGCAGGUCACAUCAUUCUCUCUGAGACCCUGUUUCCUGAUAUGUUGGGUGCUGAAACUCACGUCAAAAGGGCCUGUGGGGUUUACAAGAGCCGAUCUGUGUACAGAGGUCAGCAAGCUACAGCCACGGGAGUUAAAAUCACUACCACAAUGGCAAAGAGCCCUGGAAAACACUGCAGGCUCCAUUCUAUCCACUGAAAAAUCCAAAGGGCUGAGCAGCUCACCUGUCUCUCCCAAACUAGGAUCCAGGCAAUGAGAGGUGCUGGUGCUUGGGUGGGUGCACAGCAGCAUCUAGUGGACUAGAAGGAGAACUGACGAAGUGUCACAAUGACAUUGGGAAGAGAAAGUUUCAAGGCUAGGAAAAGGUUGGCAGAGAAGUCAGGAAGGAGGCCGGCAUGCUGAGUGUCCCCAGCAGGGAGAUCAGAUGAGGUCCCUUAACAGUCCUCAGGACCUCAAGCCCCCGUGCGCUAGCUGAGGGCGUCCUUCUCCCUCUUGCAGCACCCCCCUGGGUGCUGGGUCUCCUGGUCCUAAGGGCUCAGGGGCCCAACUUUUUCAAGUUCUGUUCCAUGUGUUUUCAGCUGCUCCAUGUGCCUCCAGCUGAGGGCACUGACCCCACUGCCCCAGUCCCCAGUGCUCAGAGGCCAGGAUAGUAGAAAGCUCUGUGCCAGGGUACAGCCAAGGCGUCCUCCACACCUCUGGCCCACACAUUGGCAGCUGGGCCCUGUGUCACUCUGACACCAGAUCCUAGGGUUUCUGGCUCUGCCAUCUCUGCUGUGAGGCUCCAUUCCAAUCACAUGGCUCAGCAGGGGGGGCACUAUACCUGUCCCUUCCCCUUCUCUGUACUCCUUCUGCUUUCCUGCAUGCCCUGUACGGGAGCCCUCUUCCCUCCUCCUACUGCCGAAAGAAUUCAGAAGAUACCAACUUUCUCCUCUUUUCCCAUCUCCAGUGGAGGUCCUAGCAGGACCCCCUCAUAAGCCGUGAAGGUUAAAUGGGAGAAGUUGUACUGAGCUUGAAGCACAGGCAGGUCCCACAGCAAAUGCUCAAAAACUGGAAGCCACCAUCUGCAUCAUCCCCAUCAACCAGAGGAGCAAAGAGCCUGCCUUUUCUGAGAAGAGCAUUUACAUAUUGAUAGAAAUUCCUUGAUUAUAUUUAUCAUCACCAAUUUUAAGGAUUUGCAAAGCUGUCCUGCAGCCUCAGGAGUGGCAGAAGGACCUAAAACCCUGAGAAAUCACUUGACUCAUUGGGCAGAGGAUGAGGAAACAGAUCUCUGUGUCGGAACAGUAUCGGGGAAAUUUCUUUUUGUUUCUUUCUGUACUUCAUUUGGAAGGCUGACUUAGAUGCAUGUAACUGCACAGCAGCACAGGGGACUGCAGCAUUGAUAGGAGCAUGAGAAAAGAACCCUGCAAGCCUGAUGUGUGCAAGAGGAGAUAGCUAAAAGGGAUUCGUUAAAUGGAUGUAUGAACUAACACAAGUCUUAGGAUUACCCUGAGCUAUGCAGGCACAGAAGCAGAGCAAGGGCUUUGAGAACUGAACUAUAAUACAAACCACAACUCAACUGCCAGAUUUACCCGAGUGUUGCAUGAGCCAUGUGGACACACCAGCAUAGCAAUGGCCCGAAAACUGCACUGAGACUGGAACAACUGCCAGAGAAAACAAGACAGGGCUGGGUAUGGUGGCUCAUGCCUGUAAUUCCAGCACUUUGGGAGGCCAAGGUGAGCAGAUCAUGCGGUCAGGAGUUCAAGACCAGCCUGGCCAACAUAGUGAAACCCCGUCUCUACUAAAAAUGUGAAAAGUAGCUGGGCGUAGUGGUGGGCACCUGUAAUCCCAGCUACUUGGGAGGCUGAGGCAGCAGAAUAGCUUGAACCCAGGAGGCAGAGGUUGCAGUGAGCUGAGACUGCACCACAGCACUCCAGCCUGGGCAACAGUGCAAGGCUCCAUCUCAAAAAAAAAAAUAAAUAAAUAAAUAAAUAAAAAGUAAAUGAAAGAAAACAAGACAGAACGUGGUUUCAUCUAAACUAUGUUGAAUGCUCAAUACAACAACAACAAAAUGAACAUUCUCUGACAGAUUUUAGUAGGAACCAGAAUCUCACAACAUGAUGAGCAAACUGUCCAGAUCCUCUCUGAAAUUAUGCAGUAGAACAUAAGACAACGCUGACCAACUCUCAAGGAAAAGACAAUCAACAAUCCAGCCUUGAAAUGACCCACAGGAAGGAACAAUUUAUAUUUUAAUUGGAAGUUUGGUUAAAAUUUAAUUCUAGUUAAAGUUAUAAUUACAUUUAAAAUGUAAAGAGAAAGUGUCUAUUAUAACUAUUCUCAAAAAAUAAAAAUAAAGGUUAGUACUCUUAAAAUUAAUGGGAAGAUACAAGUCCUCAGCGGAAAAGAAGAAAUUAUAAAUAAGAAGCAAAUGGAAAUCUUAAAUGCAUAUGCAAUGUCUAAAAUAAAAAAUAUACUGAUUAGACUCAAUUAUAGACUGGAGAAAAAAAUAAUCAGUGAAAUGGAAGAUAGUUGAAUAGAAAUGAUACAAUAUGAAGAACAAAGAAAUAAAGAUUGAGCAGUAAUCCUCUGAACCGCAGAGAUGUGCGGGACACUAACAGCAUCUCUAACUCUGCCCAUUAGAGUGCCUGAGAGAAAGAAGAUAAUGCAGAAAAAAAAAUGAGGGUAAAUUGGCUGAAAACCUCCCAAAUUUGUGAAACAUAGAUCCAAGAAGGUCAGAAAAGCCUCACCCUCAUAGAUCGUAACAGCCUGCUCAAAAUCAAACAAAAGAAAAAUAUCUAGAAAACAGGGGGAAAAUAUCACAUUAUACAUGAGGAAAUUACAAUAUGAAUCCUUGCAAUUUCUCAGAAAGAUGCCAGAAGAAAGCAGAACAACAUUUUUAAAUGUUAAAAAAGAUAACUGGCCAUGCGUGGUGGCUCACACCUGUAAUCCCAGCACUUUGGGAGGCUGAGGCAGGUGGAUCACAAGGUCAGGAGUUCAAGAUCUGCCUGACCAACAUGGUGAAAUCCUGUCUCUACUAAAAAUACAAAAAUUAGCUGGGCGUGGUGGCAGGCACCUAUAAUCCCAGCUACUCAGGAGGCUGAGGCAGGAGAAUUGCUUGAACCUCGGAAGUGGAGGUUGCAGGAGCUGAGAUCAUACCACUGCACUCUAACCUGAGUGACAGAGCGAGAUUCUGUCUCAGAAGAAAAAAAAAAGGGAAAGAAAAAGAGAACUAUCAACCCAAGAUACUACAUGCAGCAAAAAUAUCUUUAAAGAUUGAAAGAGGGGCCAGGCGUGGUGGCUCAAGCCUGUAAUCCCAGCACUUUGGGAGGCUGAGGCGGGGGUAGAUCAUGAGGUCAAGAGAUCGAGACCAUGCUGGUCAACAUGGUGAAACCCCGUCUCUACUAAAAAUAGAAAAAAUUAGCUGGGCACGGUGGCGUGUGCCUGUAAUCCCAGCUACUCAGGAGGCUGAGGCAGGAGAAUUGCCUGAACCCAGGAGGCGGAGGUUGUGGUGAGCCAAGAUCGCGCCAUUGCACUCCAGCCUAGGUAACAAGAGUGAAACUCCAUCUCAAAAAAAAAAAAAAAAGAUUGAAGGAGGAAAAGGAAAAAAAAAAUGAAUGACAUGGAUUUUGGAAAAAAAGCUAAGCGA